GACGAACGCUGGCGGCGUGCUUAACACAUGCAAGUCGAACGAAGUGGCGAACGGGUGAGUAACGCGUAAUCAACCUGCCCUUCAGAGGGGGACAACAGUUGGAAACGACUGCUAAUACCGCAUACUGAAGGAGGGGCUUGCGUCUGAUUAGCUAGUUGGAGGGGUAACGGCCCACCAAGGCGAUGAUCAGUAGCCGGGUUGGAAGGGUGAACGGCCACAUGGGGACUGGAACACGGCCAAGACUCCUACGGAGGGCAGCAGUGGGGAAUCUUCCGCAAUGGACGAAAGUCUGACGGAGCAACGCCGCAGGAGUGAUGACGGCCUUCGGGUUGUAAAGCUCUGUUAAUCGGGACGAGGUACCGGAAUAGAAAGCAACGGCUAACUACGUGCCAGCAGCCGCGGUAAUUC
rnacentral:rRNA from 1 species